rnacentral:tRNA from 1 species
UCCCCUGUAGCUCAGUUGGUAAAGAAUCUGCCUGCAAUGCAGGAGACCUGGGUUUGAUUCCUGGGUUGGGAA